rnacentral:rRNA from 1 species
ACGAUGAUCUGGUGCUUGCACUGGUGAUUAGUGGCGAACGGGUGAGUAACACGUGAGUAACCUGCCCUUAACUCUGGGAUAAGCCUGGGAAACUGGGUCUAAUACCGGAUAUGACUCCUCAUCGCAUGGUGGGGGGUGGAAAGCUUUUUUGUGGUUUUGGAUGGACUCGCGGCCUAUCAGCUUGUUGGUGAGGUAAUGGCUCACCAAGGCGACGACGGGUAGCCGGCCUGAGAGGGUGACCGGCCACACUGGGACUGAGACACGGCCCAGACUCCUACGGGAGGCAGCAGUGGGGAAUAUUGCACAAUGGGCGAAAGCCUGAUGCAGCGACGCCGCGUGAGGGAUGACGGCCUUCGGGUUGUAAACCUCUUUCAGUAGGGAAGAAGCGAAAGUGACGGUACCUGCAGAAGAAGCGCCGGCUAACUACGUGCCAGCAGCCGCGGUAAUACGUAGGGCGCAAGCGUUAUCCGGAAUUAUUGGGCGUAAAGAGCUCGUAGGCGGUUUGUCGCGUCUGCCGUGAAAGUCCGGGGCUCAACUCCGGAUCUGCGGUGGGUACGGGCAGACUAGAGUGAUGUAGGGGAGACUGGAAUUCCUGGUGUAGCGGUGAAAUGCGCAGAUAUCAGGAGGAACACCGAUGGCGAAGGCAGGUCUCUGGGCAUUAACUGACGCUGAGGAGCGAAAGCAUGGGGAGCGAACAGGAUUAGAUACCCUGGUAGUCCAUGCCGUAAACGUUGGGCACUAGGUGUGGGGGACAUUCCACGUUUUCCGCGCC